UGAUGUCAAGUCAGCAUGGCCUUUAUAUCCUGGGCUACACACACGCUACAAUGGCCAACACAAUAGGUUGCUAAGCCGCGAGGUGGCGCCAAUCCAUAAAGUUGGUCUCAGUUCAGAUUGUAGGCUGCAACCCGCCUGCAUGAAGAUGGAGUUGCUAGUAACCGCAGGUCAGCUAUACUGCGGUGAAUACACGUUCCCCGGGGUCUU
rnacentral:rRNA from 1 species